rnacentral:rRNA from 1 species
UACGUAGGGGGCUAGCGUUGUCCGGAAUCAUUGGGCGUAAAGAGCGUGUAGGCGGCCCGGUAAGUCCGCUGUGAAAGUCAAAGGCUCAACCUUUGAAUGUCAGCGGAUACUGCCGGGCUAGAGUCCGGAAGAGGCGAGUGGAACUCCUGGUGUAGCGGUGGAAUGCGCAGAUAUCAGGAAGAACACCAACGGCGAAGGCAGCUCGCUGGGACGGUACUGACGCUGAGACGCGGAAGCGUGGGGAGCGAACAGG